rnacentral:rRNA from 1 species
UACGUAGGGGGCUAGCGUUGUCCGGAUUUAUUGGGCGUAAAGAGCGUGUAGGCGGCCAGGUAGGUCUGCUGUGAAAACUCGAGGCUCAACCUCGAGACGUCGGCGGAAACCAUCUGGCUAGAGUCCGGAAGAGGAGAGUGGAAUUCCUGGUGUAGCGGUGAAAUGCGUAGAUAUCAGGAGGAACACCUGUGGUGUAGACAGCUUACUGGACCAUCACUGACGCUGAGACACGAAAGCGUGGGUAGCAAACAGG